rnacentral:rRNA from 1 species
GCUUAGAGUUUGAUCCUGGCUCAGGAUGAACGCUGGCGGCGUGCUUAACACAUGCAAGUCGAACGGUCUCUUCGGAGAUAGUGGCGGACGGGUGAGUAACGCGUGAGAAUCUGCCUUUAGGUUCGGGACAACAGUUGGAAACGACUGCUAAUACCGAAUGUGUCGCAAGAUGAAAGAUUUAUUGCCUAAAGAUGAGCUCGCGUCUGAUUAGCUAGUUGGUGGGGUAAAAGCGUACCAAGGCGACGAUCAGUAGCUGGUCUGAGAGGAUGAUCAGCCACACUGGGACUGAGACACGGCCCAGACUCCUACGGGAGGCAGCAGUGGGGAAUUUUCCGCAAUGGGCGAAAGCCUGACGGAGCAACGCCGCGUGAGGGAGGAAGGCUUUUGGGUUGUAAACCUCUUUUCUCAAGGAAGAUAAUGACGGUACUUGAGGAAUCAGCAUCGGCUAACUCCGUGCCAGCAGCCGCGGUAAUACGGAGGAUGCAAGCGUUAUCCGGAAUAAUUGGGCGUAAAGCGUUCGUAGGUGGUUUUGCAAGUCUGCUGUUAAAGCGUGUAGCUUAACUACAUAAUGGCGGUGGAAACUGCAAAACUAGAGUGCGUUCGGGACAGAGGGAAUUCCUGGUGUAGCGGUGAAAUGCGUAGAUAUCAGGAAGAACACCGGUGGCGAAGGCGCUCUGCUAGGCCGCAACUGACACUGAGGGACGAAAGCUAGGGGAGCGAAUGGGAUUAGAUACCCCAGUAGUC